rnacentral:lncRNA from 1 species
UUUCCUUUUGAAUUUCCCUCCUCCUCAUCUCUUUUAUGUUGAUUUAGCAUUCAUAUUUAAUUCCUGAGUGUAAAUUAGGUUUAGUUCAUGUUUGUCAAGUUGUUUUAGUCUCGUCUGUUGGUUUGAACAUCAUUUUCAUUUUUCCUGAGAAUUAAUUAGGUUUAAUUUAAGUUGUAUCAGUCUUGUUUGGUAGUUUGAACUUUAUUUUUUUUAAUUCCUAAGCUUGAAUUAGCUUCAGUUCAUGCUAAUCGAGUUGUAUUAGUCUUUUCUAUUGGUUUGGUUUUCAUGAGUUUAAAUUAGGUUUAGUUUAUCUUAAUCAAGUUGUAUUGGUUUUGUGAGUUGGUUAAUUUAUGUUUUCGACUGGUUUUAAUCAAUGCUGAGCUGAAUUAUGAUAAGUCCUAUAUUAGAAUUUAUUGGUAUGAGUGUUGUAUGUUUGAUUUAUGUUCUAUUUGUUUUUUUUAGGUUACUUACUGUAGUUUUCUCGUUUGAAUUGCUCAUGGUUUGACCCAUUUGAAUCCUCAGUUGUUUAAUUAAUUUUUUUUGUAAUAUUUCAAAUGGUUUACAGUUUAAUUGGCCACCCAAAACUAGAGGGUAAAUAACAGGGCAACUAAGGGUUAUUAAGGUAAUUCAAUUAGGGAAUCCUAGGUGCAACAACUUAGGAAGCUUUCUAGAAGUCAAGUCAGGAAUUAAAGAAUUUCUUAAGAAAAAAUGAGAUUAAAAGGAUAAAAAAAUGCAAAUUAAGGUCUGAAAGUUGCCUUAAUUCCUCGCUUAUAAAGGCAUGCCACUCUUGCCUUGAAAAAAGAGGUUAAAAAGGCGAAAAAAAGAGAGGUUAGAGAUCAGAUUGGCAAAAAUAAUUUCUGAGAAUAAAAAGAGCUAUCAAUUCAGAAAAUGGCAAGCAACCAAAUUCUGUAGAAAACUAUUAUUCCAUUGAAGUUUUCCUGAGAUUCUUGAAGUUCUCAUUGUUAAAGUUAUUCCUAAAUAUUCAAGGGUUAAAAUGAGUUGAGUUUUAUUGGGUAUUCAAGUGUUUGGGUCAACUUCUGAUGGAAGUUUGAUUGCUGGGG